rnacentral:rRNA from 1 species
AACGAACGCUGGCGGCAGGCCUAACACAUGCAAGUCGAGCGAACCCUUCGGGGUUAGCGGCGGACGGGUUAGUAACGCGUGGGAAUAUACCCUUUGGUACGGAAUAGCCUCGGGAAACUGAGAGUAAUACCGUAUGUGCCCCUCGGGGGAAAGAUUUAUCGCCAAAGGAUUAGCCCGCGUUGGAUUAGAUAGUUGGUGGGGUAAUGGCCUACCAAGUCUACGAUCCAUAGCUGGUUUGAGAGGAUGAUCAGCAACACUGGGACUGAGACACGGCCCAGACUCCUACGGGAGGCAGCAGUGGGGAAUCUUAGACAAUGGGCGCAAGCCUGAUCUAGCCAUGCCGCGUGGACGAUGAAGGCCUUAGGGUUGUAAAGUCCUUUCAGAUGGGAAGAUAAUGACGGUACCAUCAGAAGAAGCCCCGGNUAACUCCGUG